AGCGGGAGCGACCGUUGGGCCGCGGGGCGGGGCGGGGCGGGGCGGGGCGGGGCCUCUGGCUCCGUCAAGGCCUCGCUGGGUCCGCGGUUUGCUCCGGCCGCACCGGCCGGCCGUCUCGGAAGUGCGGCCGCACCGCCUGGGAGUGAGGCCCUGCGCCGGCUUCCCUGGCUGAGCAGGCCCCGAGGGACGACUCACCCGGACUCGAGCGGGGAGCGGGGCCGCCGUGGGACCGGCGCAAGGCGGGGAAAAGCCAGGGCCCGGGGGAGUGGCCGGACGGUCAAGAUGGCCUAUACAAAAGCACUCCAUGUUUCUGCCAAUACUCUGAGUCCUUGGUCGCCUGAGCAAAAUCGCCCGAAGGGAGCUGCCUGGAGGGAAAGGGACACAGCUUUGGAGGUAUUUCAGCAGUUUCUCACCUCUCUCAUGGAGAGAGAGAAAAGUGGAAGUAUGAAAGUCCUCUAAUUGUUUUUUUUUAACGAAAGAAUUCUUUCAGUUUAUGGUUGAAUCUGAUUUAACAGCUGCCCAAAGCUUUUAACUUUCAAGAUUUAUAUUUACUUCAAAACUGAUUCCCCCUCACCUUCCUCUUUUUUCCUGACAGCUGGGAACUUCUAAUAACCCAAUGAAAUAGGCGCUGGCUAUUUUAGGAAAGGAGCCAGAGGGAAGACCAGGGCUGGGGAUCAGGGAGAAGCAAGGGAGGCUCAAGCCUUAGUCAUCUGAUCUCUUUACUCAGUCCCCACAUCCAAAGCCUGAAGUGGCCCACUGCUGUCAUUUCUUUUAUCUUCUUAUCUUUGUAUUUCUAAAAGCUUUUUAUCUUGGUGAGCUAAUUUAUCUGAUGAACAGUUUAAAAAGAAGAUUGAGAUGAAAGUCCCAAUGCUUUCCCCUCCCUGGGUAGCUCCCUAAGGUCAACCACAAACAAGCUGUGGUAGACUUGUUUAUUCCUUUUAGGUGAGUCCAGGUACAGUGUGCUGUUCAUGAAUUUUUAAGGAUUUAAACAAUUGUAAGAGGGGGAAAAAACAUCUGGCAGAGCUAAUGUAUAUUAAAACUUAGUUUACUCAGUUUUAGGUAAGUGAACACUUAUGUACACAAUAUGAAACAAUAUUAAACUAUUUAAAAGACAAAGUUCCUAUCCACCAUUUGUGUAAAAUUAUGUUGUUUGCGAAUUUGAUAGUCACAUGGGCUCAAAGAUCUGCCUCAUCCAAUGCUGCUGUCUAGGACAAGGGACCCAGGAGCCCUGGCCCUGAGUAUCUGGAACACAGGUCAGCAUCAUCAGUGUACACAGAGCCCUCACUAUCACUUUCAAUUAAAGAGGAGGCAGGAACCUGUUAAGGUGCACAGGGCAAUGAAAGGAAAGACUUCACUUCUUUUCCAUGGCUCCUCAAGACCAGGAUCUAGCAAAGUCUAAAGAAAUAAUAGAAUCAUUACAAAGUAAAAAUUUUUAUUAUCAGUUUUGAGAUUGUAUUAAAUCUCUACCUGAUCCUUGAUCCUGAUCUUGUCACAUAGAUCCAAAUUUGUUCCAGGGAAAUAACUGAACUUUAAGCUUACCUAUUUUGAAGGCAGGAACAGAAGUGGAAAAAUGUAUUGAUGGGUCAAGACUUUAAGGUCAUCUUUCCAUGUCCAGCCAGGGAUUACUCAGGGAGCAAAGUGUGCAGCAUCCAAAUUCCCCUGUACAGGGAGAGAUCUUUGUCCCAUGUCCUGGAUCUACCUUAAGAACUACAGAUUUCCCAGAUAUCUCCUGCAGUUCUCCCUGGCAGUGUUGGACAACAGAUUUUGAAAGUUCCUGAGAUUAUUUGGCUUAAAUUUCUCCUAAUUUCAGAUGGAUGGCCACAAUAUUAAGGAUCCCCAAUGGGGACCAGCACUGUGGCACAGCAGGUUAAAGCCCUGGCCUGAAGCGCUGGCAUCCCAUAUGGGUGCCAGUUCUAGUCCCGGCUGCUCCUCUUCUGAUCCAGCUCUCUGCUGUGGCCUGGGAAAGUAGUGGAAGAUGGCCCAAGUCCUUGGGCCCCUGAACCCGCAUGGAGGACCUGGAAGAAGCUCCUGGCUCCUGGCUUCGGAUUGGCGUAGCUCUGGCCGUUGCGGCCAUCUGGGGAGUGAACCAGCGGAUGGAAGACCUCUCUCUGUCUCUACCUCUGUCUGUAGCUCUGUCUUUCAAAUAAAUAAGAUAAAUCUUAAAAAAAAAAAAAAA